UACGGGGGGGGCAAGCGUUGUUCGGAAUUACUGGGCGUAAAGGGCUCGUAGGCGGCCAACUAAGUCAGACGUGAAAUCCCUCGGCUUAACCGGGGAACUGCGUCUGAUACUGGAUGGCUUGAGUUUGGGAGAGGGAUGCGGAAUUCCAGGUGUAGCGGUGAAAUGCGUAGAUAUCUGUAGGAACACCGGUGGCGAAGGCGGCAUCCUGGACCAACACUGACGCUGAGGAGCGAAAGCCAGGGGAGCAAACGGG
rnacentral:rRNA from 1 species